GAUGAACGCUGGCGGCGUGCCUAAUACAUGCAAGUCGAGCGAACAGACGAGGAGCUUGCUCCUCUGACGUUAGCGGCGGACGGGUGAGUAACACGUGGAUAACCUACCUAUAAGACUGGGAUAACUUCGGGAAACCGGAGCUAAUACCGGAUAAUAUAUUGAACCGCAUGGUUCAAUAGUGAAAGACGGUUUUGCUGUCACUUAUAGAUGGAUCCGCGCCGCAUUAGCUAGUUGGUAAGGUAACAGCUUACCAAGGCAACGAUGCGUAGCCGACCUGAGAGGGUGAUCGGCCACACUGGAACUGAGACACGGUCCAGACUCCUACGGGAAGCAGCAGUAGGGAAUCUUCCGCAAUGGGCGAAAGCCUGACGGAGCAACGCCGCGUGAGUGAUGAAGGUCUUCGGAUCGUAAAACUCUGUUAUUAGGGAAGAACAAAUGUGUAAGUAACUAUGCACGUCUUGACGGUACCUAAUCAGAAAGCCACGGCUAACUACGUG
rnacentral:rRNA from 1 species